rnacentral:rRNA from 1 species
UACAGAGGGUGCGAGCGUUAAUCGGAAUUACUGGGCGUAAAGGGCGCGUAGGCGGUUUAUCAAGUGAGAUGUGAAAUCCCCGGGCUUAACCUGGGAACUGCAUCUUAAACUGAUAGGCUGGAGUACUGUAGAGGAUAGUGGAAUUUCCGGUGUAGCGGUGAAAUGCGUAGAGAUCGGAAGGAACAUCAGUGGCGAAGGCGACUGUCUGGACAGAUACUGACGCUGAGGCGCGAAAGCGUGGGGAGCAAACAGG